rnacentral:rRNA from 1 species
AGAGUUUGAUCCUGGCUCAGGAUGAACGCUGGCGGCACGCCUUAACACAUGCAAGUCGAACGGAGUUUUGAGAGCUUGCUUUUAAAACUUAGUGGCGGACGGGUGAGUAACACGUGAGCAACCUGCCUUUCAGAGAGGGAUAGCUUCUGGAAACGGAUGGUAAUACCUCAUAACAUACAUUUGCGGCAUCGCAGGUGUAUCAAAGAUUUAUCGCUGAAAGAUGGGCUCGCGUCUGAUUAGUUAGUUGGUGAGGUAACGGCCCACCAAGGCAACGAUCAGUAGCCGGACUGAGAGGUUGAACGGCCACAUUGGGACUGAGACACGGCCCAGACUCCUACGGGAGGCAGCAGUGGGGAAUAUUGCACAAUGGGCGCAAGCCUGAUGCAGCGAUGCCGCGUGAGGGAAGAAGGUUUUCGGAUUGUAAACCUCUGUCAUCAGGGACGAAAAAAGACGGUACCUGAGAAGGAAGCUCCGGCUAACUACGUGCCAGCAGCCGCGGUAAUACGUAGGGAGCAAGCGUUAUCCGGAAUUACUGGGUGUAAAGGGAGUGUAGGCGGGACUGUAAGUCAGGUGUGAAAUAUGCCGGCUCAACUGGCAGACUGCAUUUGAAACUGUGGUUCUUGAGUGAAGUAGAGGUAAGCGGAAUUCCUGGUGUAGCGGUGAAAUGCGUAGAUAUCAGGAGGAACAUCAGUGGCGAAGGCGGCUUACUGGGCUUUAACUGACGCUGAGGCUCGAAAGCGUGGGGAGCAAACAGGAUUAGAUACCCUGGUAGUCCACGCUGUAAACGAUGAUUACUAGGUGUGGGGGGACUGACCCCUUCCGUGCCGGAGCAAACGCAAUAAGUAAUCCACCUGGGGAGUA